UGGGGAAUAUUGCACAAUGGGCGAAAGCCUGAUGCAGCAACGCCGCGUGAAGGAAGAAGGUCUUCGGAUCGUAAACUUCUGUCCUAGGGGAAGAAGAACUGACGGUACCCUUGGAGGAAGCCCCGGCUAACUACGUGCCAGCAGCCGCGGUAAUACGUAGGGGGCAAGCGUUAUCCGGAAUUAUUGGGCGUAAAGAGUGCGUAGGUGGUUCUUUAAGCGCAGGGUUUAAGGCAAUGGCUCAACCAUUGUUCGCCCUGCGAACUGGAGGACUUGAGUGCAGGAGAGGAAAGCGGAAUUCCUAGUGUAG
rnacentral:rRNA from 1 species